GCCACCAUGCUCAGCUAGUUUUAUUUUAAAUUAAAAGAAAAACAUAGAUAAUUUGCUAUAACUAAGGAAAAUGGUUUCUUGAUAAUACUUUAUUUAAUCCAAAUCUAACAGAAAGGCAAAAUGAGUACUUUCUUUACUGCUUAUUGGUUAAAUUGUUCCUUAUAAUUUCUCUAUUGAAAAUACAGCUUUAGACUAUUAAUUAGCAAAAUAUUUUACACAUUAACUUUUCAUUUAAAAGAUUAGAAGAAUGCACUUUUAACUCAAAGAUAAAUUGCCUAAUUUUAAUUUUUGUGUUCAAUUAGGUGGAAUAUUUUUUUUUCCAAUAAUAGCAUCACUCAUUUGUUACAUAAUAAAUUUGUGUUAAAAACAGGGUUAACGGCCAGGUACAGUGACACACAUCUGUAAUCCCAGAAGCUCAGGAGGCUGAGACAGGAGAAUCAUGAGUUCAAGGCUAGCCUCAACAAUGGCGAGGCACUAAGCAAUUCAGUGAGACCCUGUCUCUAAAUAAAAUUUAAAAAAAAAAAUAGAGCUGGGGAUGUGAGUCAGCGGCCAAGUGCUUCUGAAUUCAAUCGCUGGGAAUCUUCACCCCACUCCCACCCACCCAAAAAAACAGGGUUAGCUAAAUCCUUACCUAUACCUAUUUUCUCCUGAUAUUUCAGAGUUGUUAAUCAAUAUCAGGAAUUGAUCCAGAAUGAAGCUAAAUGUCCAGUCAAGAUGUCGCACAUCUCUAGUGGCUCAGCCAGUCUGAGUCAGCUUUCUCCAGGAAAAGAAACAGAACAGCCUGAAACCGUUUCAGUUCAGUCUUCAGUAUUGGGGAAAGGAGUAAAACAUCGACCUCCACCCAUCAAACUUCCCUCAAGCUCAGGAAAUAGUUCAUCAGGUAUUUAAAUUCUUAGUUUUGUAUAAUGUAGAGUAGUGGGAAACAUACAAUUG
rnacentral:lncRNA from 1 species